UUGGAGGGCAAGUCUGGUGCCAGCAGCCGCGGUAAUUCCAGCUCCAAUAGCGUAUAUUAAAGUUGUUGCAGUUAAAAAGCUCGUAGUUGAAUUUCGGGAUCAAUAUGCUGGUCGUGCCAUUGGUACGUACUAGUAUUAUUGGUUUCUUCCUUCUGAUGAAUCAUGAUGUCAUUAAGUUGAUGUCAUGGGGAAUCAGGACUGUUACUUUGAAAAAAUUAGAGUGUUUAAAGCAGGCUCGCGCUUGAAUACAUUAGCAUGGAAUAAUGAAAUAGGACGUUUGAUUCUAUUUUGUUGGUUUCUAGGAUUGACGUAAUGAUUAAUAGGGAUAGUUGGGGGCAUUAGUAUUCAAUUGUCAGAGGUGAGAUUCUUGGAUUUAUUGAAGACUAACUACUGCGAAAGCAUUUGCCAAGGAUGUUUUCAUUAAUCAAGAACGAAAGUUAGGGGAUCGAAGACGAUCAGAUACCGUCGUAGUCUUAACCAUAAACUAUGCCGACUAGGGAUCGGAUGAUGUUAAUUUUUUAAUGACUCAUUCGGCGCCUUACGGGAAAC
rnacentral:rRNA from 1 species